UACAGAGGUCUCAAGCGUUGUUCGGAUUCAUUGGGCGUAAAGGGUGUGUAGGUGGCGCGCUAAGUCGGGUGUGAAAUUUCGGAGCUUAACUCCGAAACUGCAUUCGAUACUGGCGUGCUUGAGGACUGGAGAGGAGACUGGAAUUUAUGGUGUAGCAGUGAAAUGCGUAGAGAUCAAUGAGGAAGACCAGUGGCGAAGGCGGGUCUCUGGACAGUUCUGACACUGAGACACGAAGGCCAGGGGAGCAAACGGG
rnacentral:rRNA from 1 species